CCUUGGCACGUUUAUACUCCUCCCAUCCAAUAAUGCAGCACAAAUCAGAGGGAGGAGCCAGCUGACUGGCAGCUCGAAGACUGACAGGUACUUCCUGAGUAGGCUGAUGGUGUGAAGAGAAAAGACCUGGCAACCUGUGGGUUAGUAAGAUAAAAGUUCAUGGCAAGUCGAUUUCAACAAUACUUGCAUUAAAUGAGAAAUUAUACACUUAUGACUUAAAUAACACAAUCUGUGUGACUGUUUGUAAUACAACAAUCAAUUUAUUUACAUAUAAACCUGAUACAGUAUAUUUGAAUACUUCUGUUGUUUUUUAUAUAAAAUUUGGACAUGUGUAUUUAAAAAACUAAACGAUUUUUUAACACUAUUUAAUCCAAAAUGACUAAUAAUCUGAAAAAAGAGAAACAUCAUUUAACGAAAGAAAGACAGAAAGAAAUAAAGAAAGGGAAAGUUCUAGAAAGAGCUUGUCUGGAGAUUUAGCAGCUGUGUUAAGUAAAACAAGAUCUCGAAAAUGAUGGGAAAACACCGGAUUAACCUGUGGCUAACCUGUUUAGUAUGAAUGACAACCAAAUGCACAAUAUCCACAUUCCUGUACCACAGUUCUGGAUAACAACGUCAUGUUGAAGGGGUCAUAUGACACGGCUAAAACAAAUAUUAUCGUUUGUUUUAGAUGUACUGCAAUGUCUAUACAUGAUUUAAGGUUCACAUACCCAGCAUGUUUAUGUCUACUCUUCGCCCCACCUAUCUGAAACGCACAGAUUUUUUACAAAGCUCUUCGCUCUGCCAAGCGAGUUGUGCAAUGAUUGGCCAGUUAACCAGUGCGUAUUGAUUGGUCGAAUACUGCAAGCCUAUGAUGGAAAUGUUACACCUCUUAACAAAUUUGCAAAAUCAGGUUACAAAGCAAUGGACUACUUGCACGUAGUCUUCCGAGUUUCUAUAUGCAGAGAUCAUGGUAGAUUAUUUCCAUAUUUAGAGUGAUCUCUUCAUUAAAACAAAAAAUCCUGUUUGAAAUGUUAACAUGCUUUGAUGUGGGUCUUUAUGACAGAUCUUAAAUUAGCAGAAGUUCACCUCCUAAUAUGUUUUUUAAAUGUAUACUCAUCUACCAAAUAAUAGAGUAUUUUAAAAUACUCAGUAUUUGCUCUAUCUGUUCAGAUAGAGCAGAUUUAAUGCCAAACAAAUACCUUAACUGUGCAAUUUUUUUCUGGCAUUUAUCCUUAAACGUUAUAACUAUACUUUUUAUAGCUAUUGACCAAAAAAAUUGCAUUGCAUUUGUCGAUAAAAAAAGGCCCAACAUAGUGAUCCAAACAUUUAAUAACGAGUACGUUCGUGCUCUCUCACGCAUGAAACAUGGCGGUUUUUAAAAUCUGUAGUUGUUUAAACCAAACAGUGCUGCUAUGAUUCCCUGUUAGUCUCCUUCAGCCUUCCGUGAUUUGAGUCCGGAGGUAAAAUGUCUGCAACUGAGCUGUGUGUAAGGAGAAAAAGUGAAACGCUAUCGUUCACCUGCCAUUACUUUCUGUGAUCUUUUGAAGAUUUUGUACCUAGUGAUGUUUGGAAUAUUUCUUCUUAUGUCGCUGAUAAUGUAUGUACAUAUAUAUUGUAUAUUUAACCGUUUAGGUUUCACAAUGAGAAACAGGCCAUAGUUAAUACAUAUAACCGGAAACAAGUGAGUCGUACGAUUUCAAGUCGAAAGUAAGUCACGAGGCUACUUGCAGGUAGUCCAUUGUACUGACAGGCAUGCACAUCUUACUUGCUAGUACAUUUGGGCGGUCUUAGUCAAAUCAUACCUUGAACUGACGUAGAUUUGUGGGGGUGUGGUUACACGAGGCGUUUCAGGCAGGUCUGGGUAAGCAUUUGCUUUUAGGUAGAAAGCAUCUUUUUUCUCGACACUUGAAUUUUUGCAAUAUAUAAUACAUGGAUGGGCUGCUUACAACACACCAAAGACACAGAAAAACACUUAUUCGCGCCAUAUGACCCCUUUAAGAUUUUUUUCAGACUUAAUAAGAAUGUGUUAACAAAGAGAGCCCCUCAGAUAAAAGCACUACUUUACCACUACUAAACCCAUGCAGCUAUAGAUGGACGCAUACCGACCCCUAGUGGUCUGCGUGUCAAACUUAUUACUUCAAUUACAGUUCACAGCUUUGUAAUUAGUUAGGUGGGUUUUGUCAUAUUGUGCAUUGCUUUCACACACAUGGAGAUGUUCUUAAUCCACCAUCACCAAUGUGCCUCGAAGCCCAUAAAAACAGGUCUCGCCUGGGGUGCUGUCCUCUUCAGUGCACUUGUGUCUGUAUAAUAAAUUGUAUAAUAAUGGUUUCCUUUUGGAACCAUACAAUACAAAAACAACUUGAAUGUGCAUAGUUGAGAUACUAAAUCAUGGGUCUUCACGUUGAUGCACUUCAUUAAGCAAACCAGUAGGUGGUGUAUUUGGCCCAGAAAACACAUUAUUGAUGCAACCAAAGAGAUGUGUCCAAUCAGAUAAUCACUGAAUUAACAUUUAACAUAAUGUAAUGAGAUUUACCUAAAGGUAGUCUUCCAGAAGAAGCCAGAUGACUGUUGCCAAAGACAUAAAGGAAAGAACAAAGUAUGAUGAAUGUAACAUUCUUAUUAGUCACAUGAGCUAAUAAUUAACAAAAAAAAUGCAAAAAUGAACCGCAAACACAGAGUUUGUAAACAUUGUGGCUCUUGAGGCAAAACUUUAAACUAAUAAUAAAUUAAACUGUUUACGAUAUGUGUAGAACUGGCAUGCUAUCGAUAAUCAAAUUUUUUUAAAUCAUGUUUAUUGUCAAUGCUUGUAUGUUGUGACACCCCUUAAUUACUUUAUGCAUGAACUGUGUAUUGUAUGAUAUUUCAUCAACAACCAAAAAUAUGGUACAUUAACAAUCCUUUUUAAGCAAACUAUCAAGUCAUAUUUCUAGCAAGAAAUAACCUUCUUGGUCAAUAAACCUAAAUUUUGAUAGUGAUUUUUACAUAACAAAGAUUUAUUUGUCUUGGGUUUUACUCUCUUUCUCCUCCAUUGUCUGUCUUUUAAACACACACACACAUCCUGAGGUCUGGGGUUUUCUCAGAUUAGAACACUAAAUCCAUAUCCAGUUCCUGGAAUUCUCUAUGAUGUCCUGGCUCUCCCGGUCACACCACCUGUGCAGGCCCAGCUCAGCCUGAGAUGACCCAGUCCCAGCGCCAACUUAACAAACACUGUCUGCAUCCUUCUCCCUCUUGUUUUCAUAACAAGAUAAAGUUAUUUACAAUACUCCAAGCAUGACCCUUAACCCAAUUCUUUCACAAACCUGUUCAUAUUCAAUUUAAAGCAAUUUUUGAUGGAAUUCUGCUAAAUUAUGAGCCCAACUAUAUAUUAGUUGAUAUAUAUAUAUAUUAGUACACAGUGAUAUAUUUCUUCCUAAUCCUUAACAUAGCACCUAUAAAUAUGGACACCAGCAGACAUAAAACGAAAUAUGAUUUGGCUUGUUUAUGAAAAUUUGUUAAAUGUUUUACAGCUUAAAACAUCAUUGCAUUAAUAUACAGGGCUUCAAGACUGGCUCAGUUUCUUACAACCAUGCAUUUAUGCAUCAGCACAAAUAUUUCUUUAUCAACCGUUGUUUGCAUGUCUCCAUCAUUAGUAUUGAUUGAAAUUAAACUUCUGUAAGUCUGUUGGAAUCUGUGUAAUGCGAGGAAGUUUGUGUAGCUGUGGUACAUCUAGAAGUGUUCUGCGAUGUAAUAAUAUAAUUUGUGUGGUUUGUGUAAAAGAGUAUGUAUAAUGUAUCUGAAUGUCUAACUUGAUUAUGUCAAAUUUGGUCUAGAUACAGUGUAAAAAUGGACAAAUGUGCUUACGGUUUACUUAAGGUUCUUAAUUUCUACAUGUACCAUUAUAGAAUAUGUUUUUCUCUGUAAAUGCUAUGCUAGCAAAGAAGAUCAUCGGGAAAUACCCAGUCAAAAACUUGUUCCUUUACAUUAUAAAAGGCGGAGGUAAGAAAGGUAAAAAAACUGCAUGAGUUGAGCAACAAAACAGAAAUACAUUACCACAUACAGUGAUGCUGACUCAGCAAGAAAUUUGUUACGUUGUCUAAACUUGUUUGAAUUUGAACAGUAUGAAUUUCCUGCUCUGAAAGGUUUUACCCAUAUAGCCAAGUUGUUUACUAGCAAACUUGACCCAGAUUAAAGACCACCAUCCAAAACACAACAAACAUCCUGUUUCAAUUGAGGAUAUUGAAGCCAUUUCCCUUUUUAUCUAUCCCCUCUGUAAGGAUACAGUAAGUAUUGUUUAAAAGUAAGAUCACAACAGUAUAAAUGCAAAAGCAGGCCUACCUCAGAAAGCUUUGUAUUGUUUUGCUACCAUUAGUUAUAAAUAGUGGUUUAUAUGGGGCAAACCUAUUAAAGGGAUGAUUCAAAAGAAAGAUAUAUAGGAAAAUGUUGGCAACUAUAUUUGAGGCACCAUUGACUACAAUAGUAGAACAAUUUAAAUGGUAGUCAAAGUUUUUAUAAAUUCUUCAAAAUAUCUCAUUUUGUGUUCAACAUAAGAACAAAGAAAGUUAUACAAGUUUGGGACAACUUGAAGGUGAGUAAAUGAUGAAAAAAAUUUCAUUGGGUGAACUAUCCCUUUAAACGGAUAUUUCACAGGCAAUUCAGAAUGGCUGAAUAUGACUUUCUUCUUGAAGAAUAAUGCAGUCGAAGUUAUAAUACCAUGUAUCAUUUUACUUCCAAGCGGUGGAAUGGGAGUGAAUGGGCAUCGACUUUUAUAAGUUCCAAGAAGUGGAUCCAUCCAUCAAAUAACUGCUCGACGUGGCUCCAUAGUCUUACCAAAGGUCUUCUGAAGCAAAUCAUUGCGUUUAUUUGGAGAAAUAUACAUACUGACAGCGCUUGUAACGUUGCUGAAAAAACAAGCCUCAGGUGCAUCCGAGGGAUAACAGAAGCUAGACAUCAACGUUUCAAAAAUCAAAAAUUUUGAUUUGCUUGUGAAAUAUCACUUUAAGUUAUAAAUCUAUAAGCAUCCUGUUGUUGACAAGUUCAUUUCUGCAUUAUAUGACAUCAUUAUGCAGGUACCUGAGGGCCUUAUAGAUGACAGUAUGAUUGGCAUGUCCACUUACACCUCUUCCAUCAAAUGUUAGGACCUGCGGGGACACAGCAUAAACCAGAGUUUCUACCCACUGAAGAACAGAGUGAAAAGGUUGAAAAAAGACAAUAAACAAACAAAGAACAGAACUAGUCAUUUGAGGACCCAGCAGUUUAGAUGGUGGCGGGUAUUGCCAGGACCUUGCGGAAACAUCUAACUGUGUAUUGUCUCUCACAUCACCAGAUGAGAGAUUUUGUCUUCGGAAACGGCUGGUUUUAUAAACUGCUGCAGCUCAAAAGUGCCAAGGGUGGAGGAAAAUAUGGUUGACAAAAUAAUAUGUUGUAUAAGGUAUGUAGAUUGUUGCCAAAGACAAUGAGGUGAAUGAGUCAGCUUAGACGAGCACAUCAGCAUAUCAUUGAAGAGGAACUCCAAACAUUGUGCACAGAACGGAGAAAGAUUGAAAGGAAGUGACUUAUUUGUCUAAAAGAAGAUCAAUGGAAGAACAUGCUUAAACACUUUGAUCACUCGACAAUAAAAACUUCAAUGAACUUUA